AAUAGAUACCCAGGUAGUCCACGCCGUAAACGAUGAGUGCUAAGUGUUAGGGGGGUUUCCGCCCCUUAGUGCUGCAGCUAACGCAUUAAGCACUCCGCCUGGGGAGUACGGCCGCAAGGCUGAAACUCAAAGGAAUUGACGGGGGGCCCGCACAAGCGGUGGAGCAUGUGGUUUAAUUCGAAGCAACGCGAAGAACCUUACCAGGUCUUGACAUCCUCUGAAAAUCCUAGAGAUAGGACGUUUCCCUUCGGGGAACAGAGUGACAGGUGGUGCAUGGUUGUCGUCAGCUCGUGUCGUGAGAUGUUGGGUUAAGUCCCGCAACGAGCGCAACCCUUGAUCUUAGUUGCCAGCAUUCAGUUGGGCACUCUAAGGUGACUGCCGGUGACAAACCGGAGGAAGGUGGGGAUGACGUCAAAUCAUCAUGCCCCUUAUGACCUGGGCUACACACGUGCUACAAUGGAUGGUACAAAGGGCUGCAAGACCGCGAGGUUUAGCCAAUCCCAUAAAACCAUUCUCAGUUCGGAUUGCAGGCUGA
rnacentral:rRNA from 1 species